rnacentral:rRNA from 1 species
UACGGAGGGUGCAAGCGUUACUCGGAAUCACUGGGCGUAAAGAGCGCGUAGGCGGGAUAGCAAGUCAGAUGUGAAAUCCUAUGGCUUAACCAUAGAACUGCAUUUGAAACUGUAGUUCUUGAGUGAUGGAGAGGCAGGCGGAAUUCCGUGUGUAGCGGUGAAAUGCGUAGAUAUACGGAGGAACACCAGUGGCGAAGGCGGCCUGCUGGACAUUAACUGACGCUGAGGCGCGAAAGCGUGGGGAGCAAACAGG